GAUGAACGCUGACAGAAUGCUUAACACAUGCAAGUCAACUUGAACUUCGGUUUGGGUGGCGGACGGGUGAGUAACGCGUAAAGAACUUGCCUCACAGCUAGGGACAACAUUUGGAAACGAAUGCUAAUACCUGAUAUUAUGAUUAUAUGGCAUCGUAUAAUUAUGAAAGCUAUAUGCGCUGUGAGAGAGCUUUGCGUCCCAUUAGCUAGUUGGAGAGGUAACAGCUCACCAAGGCGAUGAUGGGUAGCCGGCCUGAGAGGGUGAUCGGCCACAAGGGGACUGAGACACGGCCCUUACUCCUACGGGAGGCAGCAGUGGGGAAUAUUGGACAAUGGACCGAGAGCCUGAUCCAGCAAUUCUGUGUGCACGAUGAAGUUUUUCGGAAUGUAAAGUGCUUUCAGUUGGGAAGAAAAAAAUGACGGUACCAACAGAAGAAGUGACGGCUAAAUACGUG
rnacentral:rRNA from 1 species